rnacentral:rRNA from 1 species
CCUACGGGUGGCAGCAGUGGGGAAUAUUGGGCAAUGGGCGCAAGCCUGACCCAGCAACGCCGCGUGACGGAAGAAGGCUUUCGGGUUGUAAACUUCUUUUUUCAGGGAAGAGUAGAAGACGGUACCUGACGAAUAAGCCACGGCUAACUACGUGCCAGCAGCCGCGGUAAUACGUAGGUGGCAAGCGUUGUCCGGAUUUACUGGGUGUAAAGGGCGUGUAGCCGGGUUGACAAGUCAGAUGUGAAAUCCUGCGGCUUAACCGCAGAAUUGCAUUUGAAACUGUUGAUCUUGAGUACUGGAGAGGCAGACGGAAUUCCGAGUGGAGCGGUGAAAUGCGUAGAUAGUAGGAGGAACACCAGUGGAGAAGGCGGUCUGCUGGACAGCAACUGACGGUGAGGCGCGAAAGCGUGGGGAGCAAACAGGAUUAGAUACCCGUGUAGUC